GACAGACCAAAAAACAUCCCUUAUUUGGAAGUUAAUGUGUGAUGCCAGUUCUGAGCGACUACAAUGGCUUUUAAAAUAACUUGCAUAAGCCCAGAAGUCUAUGUAACAACUUUAUGAAAUGAUCCGGGGUAAGAUAAAAGAAGCAUUCAAUCAAAAUCUAAGAAUAAAGCCAAGGUUAAAUUAAGCUGUGUUUACCAGAAGUUAUGAAUUAAUGACAAAGUUUUACCUCUUCUCCAUUCGGUCCAACCCAGCCUCUACGAAUCAGCCCACCAUAGUCUAGGUACCAGCCUCAGUUCUACUUACACUGUUGCUGAGACAGAGCCUAAGAGGGAACUCAGUUGGCAAUGGUUGCCAAGCCAACUCCAGCAGCUACUCGGGCAAGAAUUAAGAGUGAAGUCUAAGCCCAUGAAACCCAGGUGGGCAAAAGGUCAGGUGCAAUCCUACAUGAUAGAAGAAGAGAGCUAAGUUUGAAGAGUUGGGGGGUAGAUUUCAAUAUGGCCAGAGAUAAGAUCCAAUCCUAGCAACAGUCUACUACAUUUAGAGGGAUGGUGACUGGGGAAAGGGUAAAAAGCAACCAGCAUCCUCAAGGACUACCAUCAGACUUUAUUUAUUAUUACAAACGAAUGCCUCCAGUCAUGAUGGACCAAUGCAGGCAUCAGGUUAUCUGAAAGUGGUGCCAAAGUGUUCUUAUGCUAUUGCCCACAUUCUAUUCUUCUAAGUAGGAUAUAUCCAUAAAUAGCCUCUUCUGAAGAGUUAUAGAACUGUCACAUUGAGAAAAAUACCUGGAGGUCAUAAUAAGAAAGAUAUAAUUGAAUCUUUGUCUUUUGUGAGUAAACAUCCUGAUAUGGUGAACUGGAAAUGAUUAAUGCUUUUCUUCUUUCCUUGCCAAAAGACAGCCA
rnacentral:lncRNA from 1 species